CGGCAGUGAUGAGCUUAUGAGAUUGUCAUGCACCACUCUGAUGAUGUUCACAUCAAUCUGUGCUGAUAAGUUUCUCUAAACCCAUUGAUCUGAGCCU